CUCCUGCAGACUGUAUAUUACAUCCUGAUGUGUAUAUCCUGUAUUCUGUCUUUUUGUAGGUAUCACAAGACAGUGAGAAAUGGAUGGAUUUACUUGACACAAAGAGAAAAUGCUGCUCUGCCAAAAUCAACUUUCUGAUGACAACAGCAGGACCAAAAAUUUGACUCAGGUGGUGUUGCUUUUUGUGUCAUUCAGUCACUAUGAGAAGGAGAGCAUUAAUUCCCAGAACAUUUAUACGCUAUUUACAAAAAAUACAUUAAGGCCAAGAAGGAGAAUUUUCAGAAACAGCAGACUGACCUGAGACUGGAAACGAAGAUAUGGAUAAGUUCCAGAUCACUUCCUUGAGUGAUAAAAGAGAGAAACUUUUUACCGCUUCCACUCUUGACUGCUCUAUUGGUGUAGAGGUCCUCUGCCAGAUUAUCUGCACAGUGUGUGGAAGAAGGUUGCUGGAACUGAAGGUGUAUGGAAGAAGGAGUUCUAAGUUUCUCAGAUAUUGCAAAAGAUAGUUCCUCCUCUCAUCCUGGAAAAUCCUGACAGACCAGUUGGAUACCUUUCAGGCCUUAACUAAGGACUUUAUCUGUUCGUCCCACUGUCUUUUUUACUGUAG
rnacentral:lncRNA from 1 species